rnacentral:rRNA from 1 species
GUGCCAGCCGCCGCGGUAAUACCGGCAGCCCGAGUGAUGGCCGAUCUUAUUGGGCCUAAAGCGUCCGUAGCUGGGUCUGAAAGUCCAUCGGGAAAUCCACUCGCUCAACGAGUGGCCGUCCGAUGGAAACUGCACACCUUGGGACCGGAAGGCUCGAAGGGUACGUCCGGGGUAGGAGUGAAAUCCUAUAAUCCCGCCCGGACCACCGAUGGCGAAAGCACUUCGAGAAAACGGAUCCGACAGUGAGGGACGAAAGCUAGGGUCGCGAACCGGAUUAGAUACCCGUGUAGUCC